rnacentral:lncRNA from 1 species
AAUUUCCCAUUUUCAGCAACACCAAGUAAAUACACCUACACCAAUUACAUUUCUUUUUCCUUUUCAUUUCACUGCACCGAAUUCACUCACCAUAGCUGCUCAUUUUCUCUCAAUCUGUUAGGGUUUCUUUUAAUUUUAGGCUUUCAAGGGAAACAUACAGUUUCCUUUUAAUUUUACUGGUGAUUUCUAUGGAGACGGAAACCCUAGAUGACAAGAAACCGGAGGAAGAGGAGGUGAAAGAGAGACUGAAACUUCCCAUUGAAUAAGAAAUCAAUAGAAGGAAAAAGAAAUCAGAUCUUUCUGAAUAAGAAGAAGAAAAAUCAGUACUUUCUUUCCAUUGAAGAACAAGAAGUGAAAGAGGAUAUCAAGGGAAGAUGUCAAGAGAAAAACUAAGAAGAGCCGCACUUCCUCCUGUUCAAGAGGUGUUCUUUUUUAUUUCUAUUGCUUUUAGUAUUUUUUUUUUUUGAGAUUAUUUUCAGUGAAAGAAAAAAUUUUGGAAAUUACCCAUCAUUUUUUUUCCUUUUCAUUUCACUGCACUAAAUUCACUCACCAUAGCUACUCCUUUAAUUUUACUGGUGAUUUCUGUGGCGAC